AUUAUUAUUACUGAAAUGUUUGCAACUGCAGGCAUAAAUGUUAAUCUGUACAAGCACCAGGAAUCACUCUUCAGUGUUUAAAAGACAAAUCAGAAGCAAUGUUUAAAUCAUACGGAAUCUGCUUGUACUUCAUGAGUGCACAAUGCUUAGCCAAGAAACUACCUGGUAUAGACCUGGGACAGAAAAUCAUGAUCAACUAAUUACAGUAGUGUUGUGGAUGUGCUGCAGUGCAUACAAGAAGGGUAGGAAGAUGAUGAGCAGAGGAAAAUAUGAGAACACAAGGAAUACAUUAGCCUCAUUUUCUUGAGUUCUGUUUGUUCCCUGCCAGAUAUGAGAAGUUGGCUUUGAAAGAUUCCCUUUACAUUCCUCUGCUAUCUUGUUGGUAUGUCUUUGCUAUAUUAUUCAGCAUGCACGUAGUACUUCUGAGUUUGAUCUAUCAUUAGUGAUGCUGAAGACUCAUUUGAUUUUCUGAGCACUAUUUGUCUUUUCAAGUGAGCACUAAUGCAUUGUGUUGACUGAUAGCAAUGACUGUGACAAAACAUUUUUGUGAUAUCCUAGUAGAGAAAGU
rnacentral:lncRNA from 1 species